rnacentral:rRNA from 1 species
GACGAACGCUGGCGGCGUGCUUAACACAUGCAAGUCGAACGGAAAGGCCCUGCUUGCAGGGUACUCGAGUGGCGAACGGGUGAGUAACACGUGGGAGAUCUGCCCUGCACUUCGGGAUAAGCCUGGGAAACUGGGUCUAUUACCGGAUAGGAGCCAUUUUUAGUGUGAUGGUUGGUAAGUUUUUUCGGUGUAGGAUGAGCUCGCGGCCUAUCAGCUUGUUGGUGGGGUAAUGGCCUACCAAGGCGGCGACCGGUAGCCGGCCUGAGAGGGUGGACGGCCACAUUGGGACUGAGAUAAGGCCCAGACUCCUACGGGAGGCAGCAGUGGGGAAUAUUGCACAAUGGGCGCAAGCCUGAUGCAGCGACGCCGCGUGGGGGAUGACGGCCUUCGGGUUGUAAACUCCUUUCGCUAGGGACGAAGCUUUUUGUGACGGUACCUAGAGAAGAAGCACCGGCUAACUACGUG